rfam:Dialister invisus CAG:218 genomic scaffold, scf8
GGGGAUGUACCGGUUUCGACAGGAGAUUCUGUAUCAUAAAAAGCGAGUCGGGAUUCCAUCUACCCCGUUAAACGGUGGAAAAACUUAAACGCAAAACAUGAUUUUGCUUUAGCAGCUUAAUCUGCUAAUGUCCCCUGAAGUUUUCCUAUGACUUCAGGCUGACAUCAACCAAUAGGAUACCGAGAGAGGAGGCUUGGGACUUUUUAGGGAAACUAAUUCCAAGAUCGGCAAAGGUAGUUUGUUUUUGUACGAUACUUUGCUUAAAUAAAAAAACAAGAACUGCACUCGGAGAAGUUUAUGGGGCAGGCUUUUUGGACAGGGGUUCGACUCCCCUCAUCUCCACCA